rnacentral:rRNA from 1 species
AUUGAACGCUGGCGGCAGGCCUAACACAUGCAAGUCGAGCGGAGCGGCGGACGGGUGAGUAAUGCCUAGGACUCUGCCUGGUAGUGGGGGAUAAUGUCCGGAAACGGGAGCUCAUACCGCUUACUAUCAGAUGAGCCUAUGCCGGAUGAGCUAGUUGGUGGGGUAAAGGACUACCUAGGCGACGUGCCCUAUAUGGUCUGAGAGGAUGACCAGCCACAUUGGAAGUGUGACACGGUUCAGAGGCCUACGGGAGGCAGCGGUGGGGAAGAUUGCACAAUGGGCGGAAGCCUGAUGCAGCCAUGCCGCGUGUAUGAAGAAGGCGUUCGGGUUGUAAAGUACUUGCAGCGAGGAGGCGUUACUCGCAGAAGAAGGACCGGCUAACGCCGUGCCAGCAGCCGCGGUAAUAC